AUUGAACGCUGGCGGCAUGCCUUACACAUGCAAGUCGAACGGCAGCACGGGUGCUUGCACCUGGUGGCGAGUGGCGCACGGGUGAGUAAUACAUCGGAACAUGUCCUGUAUUGGGGGAUAGCCCGUCGAAAGCCGGAUUAAUACCGCAUACGAUCUACGGAUGAAAGCGGGGGCCCUUCGGGCCUCGCGCUAUAGGGUUGGCCGAUGGCUGAUUAGCUAGUUGGUGGGGUAAAGGCCUACCAAGGCGACGAUCAGUAGCUGGUCUGAGAGGGCGACCAGCCACACUGGGACUGAGACACGGCCCAGACUCCUACGGGAGGCAGCAGUGGGGAAUGUUGGACAAUGGGCGAAAGCCUGAUCCAGCAAUGCCGCGUGUGUGAAGAAGGCCUUCGGGUUGUAAAGCACUUUUGUCCGGAAAGAAAUCCUUGGCCCUAAUACGGUCGGGGGAUGACGGUACCGGAAGAAUAAGCACCGGCUAACUACGUG
rnacentral:rRNA from 1 species